rnacentral:tRNA from 1 species
CGUGGUCAUGCUCUAUGGCAGGGACGGGGACUUCAAUUUCCUCAGCCUCGUCCGCCCGGCUUUCGACCUGUCGGACCGCGGC